AAGGAUCAUUGUCAAAACCUGCCCAGCAGAGCGACCCGUGAACGAGUGAAAACAUGCACGUGCGGUUCGAGGAGGGGCGCGCCCCCGAUCGUCCGUCCGUCGGACCACGGCCUUCCGUCGCGGCCGCGCCGAAAGGGCGACCGCGGGGACGGGCAUGUGUGUCCGAACUAAACCAAAAACCGGCGCUACAGGCGCCAAGGAAAUCUUAGCGGAAAUAGGGGGUCGCACCGUUCGCGGUCGCGGCCUUCGGGAUCCGAUACUCGAACGACUCUCGGCAACGGAUAUCUCGGCUCUUGCAUCGAUGAAGAACGUAGCGAAAUGCGAUACUUGGUGUGAAUUGCAGAAUCCCGUGAACCAUCGAGUCUUUGAACGCAAGUUGCGCCCGAGGCCACUAGGUCAAGGGCACGUCUGCCUGGGCGUCACACACAGCGUCGCACCCCGCCAACCACGUUGCCGGGGAGCGGAAAUUGGCCCCCCGGGCCCUUUAGGGCACGGUCGGCACAAAUGUUGGUCCCCGACGGCGAGCGUCGCGGUCAGCGGUGGUUGUACUACUCACCCCCGAAGACAUCAAGACGCGUUGCUCCGCUGCACGACGGGACAAACGACCCCACGGAACCGCCUCACGCGGCAUCCACCCUGCGACCCCAGGUCAGGCGGGNCUACCCGCUGAGUUUAA
rnacentral:rRNA from 1 species